rnacentral:rRNA from 1 species
UACAGAGGGUGCGAGCGUUGUUCGGAAUGACUGGGCGUAAAGGGCGCGUAGGCGGUUUGUACAGUCAGGCGUGAAAUUCCUGGGCUUAACCUGGGGGCUGCGUUUGAUACGUGCAGACUAGAGUGGGGAAGAGGGUCGUGGAAUUCCCAGUGUAGAGGUGAAAUUCGUAGAUAUUGGGAAGAACACCGGUGGCGAAGGCGGGUCUCUGGGCCGUAACUGACGCUGAGGAGCGAAAGCGUGGGGAGCGAACAGG